UACGAAGGGGGCUAGCGUUGUUCGGAAUUACUGGGCGUAAAGGGCGCGUAGGCGGUCCUGAUCGUCGGAUGGGAAAGGCCUGGGCUCAACCUGGGAACUGCAUCCGAUACGGCGGGACUGGAGUGUGGGAGAGGUUGGUGGAAUUCCCAGUGUAGAGGUGAAAUUCGUAGAUAUUGGGAAGAACACCGGUGGCGAAGGCGGCCAACUGGACCACAACUGACGCUGAGGCGCGAAAGCGUGGGGAGCAAACAGG
rnacentral:rRNA from 1 species